GCGCAGUGCGGCGGCUCGCUGCCGACCGGGCCCCGGCCCCGGCCCGGAAGGGACGGUCCAGCCGCGCACUGUCAGCCCGCAAGGCGAGGGUGACGGGCCAAGGGCAACCCGCUGCUCGAGGGCGACGGGCUUACAAAAGCUGUGGGCCUUCUUCCUCAGCCUGUAGGUCCUGCGUUUAUUUAAUUGUUUUGGUUUGCUUUGCUCUUUUGUUUUUUUUUCCCCCCCUUAAGCUCUCAAGGUACGCGGACGCUUUGCUCCCCAGCUCUGGAGGCUAGGAGGAAGUGCUUUUUGCUCCUGAGGCCAGCAAAGGAAAAACAGCAGUCUGAGGUUUAGGUAGCAGUAACCAGAGAUUAGAUGCUGUUAAGUGUAAUGAAGCACGAAGAUGACAAGAUAAAUGAACAAGAGGCUUUUCAUCUUGAUCACGUCCUCCAGAGCAUAACGGUACAGAUUUUGUAUUCCAGAAACAAACGUCACCUUGGGGUUGAGAUCAUGCUAGAUGAAUCUACGUGAAGGCCUGAAAAUGCAAUUAUCUCAAAAGGGACAAGAUUUUUUUAUCUUCUGCAGAAGUGCAGAAGUACAAUGUACUGGAAGAGUUAGCGCGUUCUCCAGCAAGAGAGCAAAGGUGUGCAUUCAUGGGAAGGACAACAUCUGCCUGGCCCCCAGAUAAAUCUAAGCCCGUCUUCCCAUCUUACAGGUGGCUUUUUUUACCUUUUGCACCACGGCAGCUGGAGUUUUCAGGCUGUCCUGAUUAAUUGCGUCCAUGUCUCAAGUCACUGAUACCGGAAAGACAUCUUAGCCCCAGUGUCACAGGUGAAUGCAGUUGCAGAAGGAACAAGGUUACUGAGAGAACAGAUUUCAAGCUUCUACUUCCAAAGCGUCUAAUGCUGUCACGUAGUGGUGUGCUGUAACACUGGCAGCUGAAUCCGGACGCACCCCUCUUGGCUCCAUACCCAGCACUGAUUAGGACUAGCAAACCUCAGCUUCAAGAUUUAAGAGCAUUCAUCUGCUUGCUGUCAAAGACUGUGUGUGGCAUUAAAUGAUGUAUUUUAGAGAGAUUAUAAAUCCUAAUAAAAGGGGAUCAGGAAUAUCUUCAGCAGCUGUAGAGAUUUGUAACAGAGAAAUGAAGACUGGUAUGAAGUAUGAAUGGAAAUGCAUGCAAGCACCAGCAGCAACAGCAGAAUAGAGGGCUAAAAGAAUGCACUCUUCUGUUAACACAGAAAAACGUUCCCAGCAGAAAAAUUAAGGAAUUGCUCUGUUUAUGUCAAGGCCAAAGACCUGCACUUUGAGAACAGCCACAACACAGAUGACCUGUCAGUGAAAGACCUGGCAUCCUGACCCCAGGAGGAGGGUGACAAAGCUACAGCAUCAGAUACGCCUUUCCUGUUAGCCCGUCAGGAAAACACGCGUGUUGAAAACAAGGAAAAACAGGCAAUGGGCAGCAGCCUGGCUGACAUUUAUGGAGAACGAAGUAAACAGGAUUACAAGGAAUCGUAAACAGCAGUUGUUCCUUAUGCAGAAGGACUCCUUCUUUCUUUGUUCUCCGUCACUGCGAUUUCCAAGUAAGUCUACAAACAACUAGAUGGAGGCAGCCACCACUAACCCAAGAAGAGGUAUCAGGAAGAGCUUCUAGCCCUCUAAUCCCCUGAAAGAUGAUACCUAUAUUGCAAAAUGCCAUCUAAGUAAAAGGGAAAAGGCAGAACGGUAUUUUGGUUUCUGCCUGACAAAGGAGACCCAUACCAUAACUGCACAAACGCAGGAAGUGGGCUGUAUGAACGCUUACAUUUUCAGCUCAAAUACCAACAUUUCUGGGUGUCCUGCCCUGAACAGCCUGCUGUUUGAGUAGAUAGCAGCUCUUGGAUGGAUUUCUGUACUUUCACAAUAAAAAUGCCUCUCGGGAGGAGCAGAGAGCCCCAGAACGACACCCAUCAGGCCCCUGCUUUCCUGCUCGUGGCUUCCCAUGAGGGCCAAGGCAAGGAUGAACAACCCAAGGCCAACAGUAGCCAAAUUGGAGAGGGCUGUCAUACCACAGAGAGCAUGCAUGACUGAUACACCUCCUGAGCAGCCACCAUAUGACUAAAAGGCAAGCUCCAGAGACGCUCCAAAACCAGAGCCACGGCACGAAAAACGUAGGACCAAGCAGAGCAAGGCACUGCAGAAAGCUCAGAGCUCACGUGCCGAAAGCUCUGGUUCCACGAGGUAUCUCAGUGCUGGCCUGAAAAAAGCAAAUUUGAAAGCUGUUGACAUUCAAGUAGUAAUCAUGCGAGAGGUGAAAGUAUAUAUCCAAAGGAGGAAAGGUAAGGUGGGUGCAAUACAAAACACACAAUCUAAGAUGAAGAACAAUGUUCUGCCCUCAUGGGCAUCAACGCGUCCACUCUUCCUGAAUUCCGAAGUCAAGAAGUUUGCUGACAGAAAACAGAACACCCACCUUCGUGCCAGGUAAGUGGAAAUACCAUGAGCAGAUACCGGAGCUUCCCAUUAAGUGGUGUAAACAGUGACAGGAGCAAGCAAUACUGUAUCUGAACUACACCGCGCUGGUGGGGCUACGCUGAUGAAAUGUUUGGUUCCUGCCUUACAUCACGCAUGCUGCAAUGUCUCCAGUGAGAUUCUGAUCUCCUGAAAUGAGAUUAAUUCUGUGCUGUCCUUUAGGAGCAAACCUUUCUAGCUGCAGCUGUCGUGAGGAGAAUGUGGCAUCGAGGGCUCUGGUCUAAAUGGGCAAAAUGUUAAUUAUCCUUUAAUUUCCCAUCCGUGUUGAGUCCUCAGUGUGAGCUACUGCAAACAUUUAGACAGGUACCUGACUCCCUGUUUGCCAGACACAGGUGGAUAAAUGAACGUUUAAGUGGUGUGCUUGCUCCUCUAGUUGAGGGUAGCUGGGUGCUUUCUCACCUUCAAGCAACCAAAUGUUGCAAAUACUCAACUCCCCUUUUCAACAAAACACCUCAUUUUACUCACCAGUUAUUAUUUAGUUAGUAGGGAAUAAAAAUUAUUAAACACACUGUCUACCAUAUGCCCAGUCUAAUAAACUGUCCUAAUAACAGCUUUCCUGGCACCACAAAACGUCACCUUUUUGCGUGACGUCCAAAAUUGAGCUAUCUGACGCAGAACGGAAGACACGAUUGAUCUGUGUUGGAAAGUGCCUCCCUUCCACAACUGGCGUCGCUGGCUUCAUUAAGCCUGCUUCUCUACCCCACCGUAUCGCCCUUCACGCCAAAUACAUGCUGUUACCUUCUGGUUUAUCCUCACAGAUUAAAAGCACUUACUUGGGGGAAAGUUCGAGGAAUGUCUGGCAAUAUAUUCUACUGUGUAUAUUCCUUACUGUCCUUUUUAAAUAUUGUUGUCACUACACCAUUAUCUCCAGUUUCCAGCGGCUGCAGGCUGCAGCCCCAGCCUCUAUUGCACCAAACAACUGGCCUCUCCCGGGUUUAAGGCUUUUGUCUUCAUUCCCAGACUCAUUUGUGGUAUCUGCACCUACGCAGACCCGUCCUCUGGCCUGAAAAAUCCGUCAGGAGAGGUGAGGUAGAGGAACGAUUUCUAUGGCACCCUAAUCUAGAAACCACGCUCGGUUUCUAAGCAGUAUUUUAAAUUGGGCACAAGUAUAUAAUCAACUAGGAAACAAACAUUUGAGAAAAGCAGCCCUUUGGACAGCUCUGCAUUUUUUUUUUUCUGUAGUGGGCAACCAAAGCUGCCAUAGAUUAAAAGUAGCCAGUUUCCAGAUACCUGGAGACAUUAAAUCACUUUGGGACAGCUCUGCUUAGCUUCAGGAAGCCUACAGAAAAAUUGCACUUGGCAACAGCUCCUGUCUCAGUAAUUCUGUGCCUGCUCCUAGGGGAUAUUUCUGCCACUUCAUCUCUUUCUUUUAUAUUUAAGUCUAUUUACAGUAAAUAGCAAUAGUAAAAAUAAAAAAAUAAAAAAUAAAAUUUCACAUAUUAAUACAACACACUAAAUAUAUGUUAGAUUCCGGUAGAGAUGUGUUAGAUGUAUAUGUUAGAUUUCUGUAAGGCGUUUAGUGCAGGGGUGCAACCGCUUUCGGCUCCACCAGGGCAGCGAUCAAUGACGUGACACGUUACUGUUCUGCCAGAGCAAGUGACAUACGGCCACGUAGCUGCACAUUAUAAUUAGCCACUGAUUUACAACAGAAAGAGGAUAGACUGUUACAUUCAAUUAACUCGCCCUCCUUUCGGCUGACAGGCAGCUGAGUGCUGAACACUUAAUAUUCUUUUUUGCAAAUUUCCUUUUCCACAAGCAUUCUAAUUGCUGUAAUUAGCACAGAUCAACUAUGACAGCAAAACUAUCAUUUCAUCUAUACAGUGCAGUAGCUUAUAAAAAGUUAGGAUUUAUCAGUUUUAUUAAGUAGCUAACCAGUAUUUCUCUUUUACCAUACAUUCUCAUAUAGUUCCAUGUAACUUUUUUCGGAUAAUUCGGUCACCUUCUCUAUAACUCUACAGAAGAAAAUAUUUUCCCCAAGAAAUAUGAAUUGGGAUGAGUUCAGUUGAUGACAGUCACAGUAGAGCGGUACGUGAGAAGUGAUACAAGUACUCCAUGUUUGCAGUUGAAUGAGAGCCGGUAUUUUCUGUCACGCUGUUUCUUUUCCUACAAACUGUGUAUUAGUCUUUUGGAAAAGGGCUGGCUGAGGACCCUGAACCUCCUUUUUUGGCUGUGCUCGGUUUUCCAUGUGACAGCCUGCUGUCGUAGGUGCUCAGUGGUUUAUGCGACUUGACAUUUUGGUUUGCCUCUCCGAAUAUUGUGGAUGUUAGAAGAGGUGACUGGCAAGGCUAGGGGAGUUUGGGGGAGUCAAUAACUUGCCCACUGAGUAAAUACAGAGAGAUUUGAGGAAACGUGGUCAGAUCAGAUCACUAUGGGACAUCUUCCUUCUGACUGCUAGAAGGACCCACGCAGUGCCUUCAGGACAGUAACCCUGCCAUGCCUCACAUCAUCUGUCCAGGUAACGAAAGCUGCAAAGGAAAUGUUUAAUAGUAUUUCCGUAGAGCGCAGCCCAACAAACCACAGGGAGGCUUCUGUUACCUUUGCUUGAAGGAAACGUAAUCUGCUGUGAUAACUAAAAGCUUAAAGGAGGUCAGCAGCUGCCCUUGUGAGUCACUGGAUUGCUCUUCUUGGCACAAAGCAUCUGCUCUAUUCAGACCACGCACGGUGGUGUGUAAAUGAACCUGUGGGGCUGACCCUGGUGCCUGCGGUGGGAAUGAUGAACAGCUGGGGCCGUGCGCUGCCCAGGACGCCCGGCCUUUCACUGUCAGUUCAGAGCAGCAGUUGUGACACUGCCUGUAGGAACGUAACCCCGCCGUACCUUCUGCUUCAGCCUUUGGAUGGCCAUCGCUGUGUCCUUGUACUGACUGGCCGUGGGGUGGCAAUGUCCAUCUUCUUGAAACAUUUACUUUACAGUUGCUGGUCUCAGCCCCGUUCCUGCUCCUUCCCUUCGUGCUUUUUGUCCUUUUCCCCUUGAUCUGUUUUUAUAGUUAAGGAAUCUGUACAUGUAUUUUAAUUCCCUUUGCGAAAGUUAAACUCAGUUUUGUCUUCCGGUAAUUCACUGCAUCACAAAGGCUUUCUGAUCCCAUUAGACCGUAUGUUUUCUUCUGCUCCCCCUUCUUUCAGUUCCUCACAGGUGCUCAAGUACAUUUUUAAGGGGAAUUUUGUUUCAAUGCCAGCUUUCUGUACAAGAUUUCUCCUCUUUUUAAGGUGCAAAGGACUCUGUCCCUUGACUAAAGUUUCUUGGAGCUUUUGGGGGUUUUUUUGCUUUCUCUCAGGCCAAUAAAUGUCUCUGUCCAGCCAUCUUCCUUUCUCGAAGUUUACCCUUUUGAAAUAAAAAGUCCUUUCAUUCCAUGUCUACUUUUUAUUGCCUCAAACAACAAAGUUACUUCAUAUAACUCUCUCUUACUCCACUGUAAGUCUUGCACAGUGGUACAAUGAAGUCUCAUGUGGAAGUACCAGAGCCCCAGCUGAACAAGGUGGUUUACGCGCCAGAAGGGUGCUCUGAACAGCCAAGUUCCCACCUAGGGCUGACUUACUUCUAUUCCCAGUUUCAGGAAUCCACUGCCCAGCAGUGCGCAACAUAAAAAUGCUCAAAGCCUGAAGCAGCACACCCUGUUCUUGGUUCAGGAACAUUUUGUUGAAUAAGAGUGUCGGUUAUGACUUCCAGAAGCAAUAAGGACCUGCAAUUAUUGAUAGGAUUAGUCCUCCAAUCUAUAGCAAGAAAAUCUAAGUCUCUCCUAACGACAAAUUCUGUUAGCAUUCCUCUGCCAAGAUUCCAAAUGCCUCCCCAAAAGAUUAUAGCAGACCUGUAACAUGACGAGAGGGAACGGGUUCAAGUUACGUCAGGGGAGGUUUAGAUUGGAUAUUAGGAAACAUUUUUUCACUGAAAGGGUUAUUAAACAUUGGAAUAGGCUGCCCAGGGAGGUGGUGGAUUCACCAUCCCUGGAGGUCUUUAAAAAAAGGGUAGAUGGGGCACUGAGGGACAUGGUUUAGAAGUGGUUUUUGUCAGGGUAGGUUAAUGGUUGGACUUGAUGAUCUUAAAGGUCCCUUCCAACCUCAGCAAUUCUAUGAUUCUACGAUCCCACUAAAAUGUUUUUACUUCUCUUUUCCCAAGAGAUUUUAGCUCAAAGACCACAUAAUCAUUUCCUUUUUUGGUUUGUUUUUUUUUUUUUUUUUUUAAAUCUGCAGCAUUGCUCAUGUGCUGCACUAAUCCACCAGCCUUAUCCUUACCUGGGCCUUUUCUCAGUCCCGUGGCUCUCUCCGUGCUCAUGCUCCACUUUCAAAAGCUAUUCCAGUGUAUUAUUUCCACUGUAAACGUUGUCACAUACUGCUGUGUGAGAGGUCUGGGUUACUCCUGUUAUGCAAAUUCCUUGCGCUAUUAAAAAGACCUCUAAGUCACAUUACUCUGGCCAAAUCAGUGAGACGAUCAACAAAUAUUUUUUUAAUCGAGAUCUCUUAUAGUCAGAUCUGCACCUCGUUCUUGCUCUGGGUGGACAGAUCAGCUGUGCCAUGCCACAUAGGCAGCUUUGUUCCUCCAUCACAUCAGAGUUGCUGUUCCCAUGUACCUUGUGAACUGCAGGCUCCUCAUUCUCCCCUUUGGUUGUUAUCUGCAAACCUUGAGAUGUCCAACUUCCAACCCUCCAUCCUUAUUGAUGCCUCCUUCACACCUCGUAAGGUCAGAUCUGACCAAAGGCUGAAGCCUUUGCACUGUCUCUUCCAUAAACUCCCUCAGUUAUCCAGCUGAUGGCUAGUACAUUCACCAAGUCCUCUCAACCCCAUUGUCUCCUUCAUAAUGGGCACCUUUGACAGCCAGCCUAGUGGCCACCUCCUUUAAGAAAGAAAAAAAUUCUUCACACCCACUCAUUGUCUCUCCUCCUUUUCUUUAACCCUCUGCUAGAAACGGUCCAGAAGUCCCUGACGUUUUGGCUUCAGGUACCAGACAUGCAGCCACCAGUGCUGCCCCCAAAUGCCCUUCUAGUCCCACGUUAGGUUGUUUCAGCAUUAAUUCCCUGUAUUUGUUCCUGUGGUAGCGCCAGCGCUCAGGUUCCUCUCCAGGAAGGAGACAGAGAUUUCCUCCAAAAGCUCUCCCCGCUCCAGCGAGCUCUCAGCUUUAUGCCUUUCAUUUUGCGCGGCUUCUUCAUUCAUUCAGAACUGCCUACAGAGAGGAAGCGUACUAGACAUUUUGAACUGCUUUUAGAGCUUCUGGUUUAGCCUCUCAUUCACCUC